AAUAGAUACCCCGGUAGUCCACGCCCUAAACGAUGAUGACUGGCUUUACGGAGUAUCGACCCUCUGUGAGGCGAAGCUAACGCGUUAAGUCAUCCGCCUGGGUAGUACGGCCGCAAGGCUAAAACUCAAAGGAAUAGACGGGGGCUUGCACAAGCGGUGGAGCGUGUGGCUUAAUUCGUCGCUAAGCGAAGAACCUUACCAGGGCUAGAAAUCCUACUGCACGCCUAUCGAAAGAUAGGAAGCCUUCGAGGGUGUAGGACAGGUGAUGCAUGGCUGUCGUCAGUUCGUGGUUUGAAUCGUUCCCUUCAGUGGGGUAACGAACGCAACCCUCGUUGCCAGUUACAAGUGUCUGGCGAGACUGCCCCCUCACGGGGGAGGAAGGUGAGGAUGACGCCAAGUCAGCAUGUCCCUCUGAUGUCCUGGGCUGCACACGCGCUACAAUCGCCUUUACAAAGGGACGCAAUGCGGUAACGCGGAGCAAAUCCUUAAAAGAGGCGCCAGUUCGGAUUGGGGUCUGCAACCGACCCCAUGAAGCCGG
rnacentral:rRNA from 1 species